GGAGGUAGUGACAAUAAAUCACAAUGCGGAACAUUUGUUUUGCAAUUGGAUUGAGAACAACGCACAACACUUAUCGAUAAACAAUUGGAGGGCAAGUCUGGUGCCAGCAGCCGCGGUAAUUCCAGCUCCAAUAGCGUAUAUUAACGUUGUUGCAGUUAAAAAGCUCGUAGUUGAAGUGAAGUAUGAAACCUUAACGUUUUCAUUUGAAUUCGUUUUGGUUUGAUACUCUUUCCAAUUUGUGUGCAUGGGUAUUCAUUUAUCUGUGUAGGCAUUUGGUCAUUUACUGUGAGAAAAUUAGAGUGUUCAAAGCAUACGUUUGUUUGAAUACAUUAGCAUGGAAUAAUUCGAAAAGGCUUUCAUGUUCGAUUUGAUUGGUUUGUUCGUGAAGGCAAGAUUAAAAGGGACAGUUGGGGGUAUUCAUAUUCAAUAGUCAGAGGUGAAAUUCUCGGAUUUAUGGAAGAUGAACAAGUGCGAAAGCA
rnacentral:rRNA from 2 species